rnacentral:rRNA from 1 species
AGUGAACGCUGGCGGUAGGCCUAACACAUGCAAGUCGAACGGCAGCACAGUAAGAGCUUGCUCUUACGGGUGGCGAGUGGCGGACGGGUGAGGAAUACAUCGGAAUCUACUUUUUCGUGGGGGAUAACGUAGGGAAACUUACGCUAAUACCGCAUACGACCUACGGGUGAAAGCAGGGGAUCUUCGGACCUUGCGCGAUUGAAUGAGCCGAUGUCGGAUUAGCUAGUUGGCGGGGUAAAGGCCCACCAAGGCGACGAUCCGUAGCUGGUCUGAGAGGAUGAUCAGCCACACUGGAACUGAGACACGGUCCAGACUCCUAGGGGGGGCAGCAGGGGGGAAUAUUGGAAAAGGGGGGCAAGCCUGAUCCAGCCAUCCCGGGGGGGGGAAGAAGGCCUUCGGGUUGAAAAGCCUUUUUGUUGGGAAAAAAAAGCAGCAGGUUAAUACCCCGCUGUUCUGACGGUACCAAAAGAAUAAGCACCGGCUAACUUCGU